rnacentral:rRNA from 1 species
UUGCAAAUAAAUAUGAAGUAUUGAUAAUGGUGGGGAUCCGAAAAGUGGUCUUGGUCUGGUCGUUGGACACAAACGAAGUACACGAAGUUGCAAUGGCUAACUUUUAACUAAACAAAUCCCAAGGAAAAGCUACUAGAUGGAUCUACUUAUAUAGGAGCAAGGGGUGGCGGCCAAGGAGGGGGGAGGACGUCCCAAGGCAGCCUAAAACUAAAUCUAGGUCGUACAAGGCCAAUGGGCCCAAGUGGAGGUGAUGUAACACCUUUGGACUUGUAGUUUGACUUGGAUUCUGCUGCAGCAUCAGAUUGUUUCCUCCACAACUCAACGCUCCGGACGAAUUUGAAGGUGAUUCCAAUUGGGUUGGAAAGUGCACGAAAUCUAGUUUCCAACAAAAAAAGAAUCACCCAAUUCGGAGUCCGUAUGAAAAACUUGUGUGCGUUUUGAGUCAGGUGUGUCUGUGCAGUCCGAAUCUGAAUCCAGAACGUGAGAGACUUGGACUCUAUCUUCUCUUGGGCCAAAAGUGACGUGAGAGAACUUUCUGGACAGCAAAUAAACAUCUCUUUCUUCCUUAUCUUCAUAUGUGGAUUGUACAAAUGUCCCAUACACCUGCAAUUAGACAAAACACAAAAGUGUGUGAAGUAUUUUUGUUCUGGAUAACAUAAAUAGAUUAUUGAAUAGUUUGCACUAGAAAUCACCUGACAAAUAUGCAUAUAUGCAAUAUUUUUGGUCAUAUCCAAGGUAGUCAUGUCCUCAUCACCUAGGACCAGCACAGUACCGUCGUUGAGCGUUUAUUCAACUUUGCAUCUCUGAAUUGAUUAUUGCUGACCCUUUUUGCUACCAUAUUAUAAGCCUUCCCAGCUCCACAUACAUCUACGUCGUGCGUUUGACUCUCCCUGGUAAUCGCUCUAUCCAAGCUUUGAGAGUUUUUGACUACAACGGUUGCCGAUCACCGCCUGCUGCUGGGUAAGAACUGGUAAGAAUUUGAGAUUUGCUUGACGGAUUUGUGACACCCGCCACCACCUCUUGUUAGUAGUCUGUAGGAUCAUGUUCUUGUGUGUUUCUAUUGCUGCUAACCAUGCCAGGAUCACAAGCCGACGAGACUGACUGGGAGAACAUGACGAAUAAGGAUUUGCAUGAUAAAUUUCAGCAAAUGAUGAGUGAACAGGUGCAAGACGUGCUAAACAGAUUUGAAGAGGCCAUGGAGAAGAUAGAUGGCAUGGAGAAGACGUUCGAAACAAAGCUCAUAACAAGUUUAAUGAAUUGCUCGCGCGUCUUCCACCACCACCAACCGCUGCACCUAAUGCACCUCUCCAACAACAACAACAACAACGACUACCUCCACGUCGCGAAAUAGACCUCCGCCGAGCGAGCCGUGUUCCUCUUGCGUUUGGCCAAACUGUUGGUGCUGCUGUUGAUACUUCUGUGGCUCCUGCUGCUGAUGCGGAGGAGGAUGAUUAUGUGGGAGAUUACGAGGAUGAGGUUGCUCAAAAUCAGAACUACGUGCAACCACCAGCACCACCACCAGCAGGUCGACCUCAGGUAUAUAUUCAUAAUGGUAGGCCUGCACCACCACCUCAGGUACGAGAUGAUGUCCAUAUUCCUAAACUGAAAUUGAAUAUUCCACCAUUUGAGGGUAGAUAUGUUCCGGAUAUAUAUCUUACUUGGGAGUUAGAAACUGAACAACGUGAUGAUGAGGACAUCAAUACAAUUGUUACACCCACAGCCCCUGCUGCUAUACAUACUGGACCAAUUACUAGAGCUCGUGCACGCCAACUAAAUUACCAGGUACGUUCGUUUCUUUGUAAUGAUUCUAAUGUUCAUGAGAAUAUGAUGCUGCCUAAAUUGGAUACAUUUGUUUUGCUUACAAAUGAAGGGCCUAGCUUGGAGAAGGAUGAACAUUGGAGCAAGAACAAGCAUGGAGAUGAUGGCAUGCGCAAGGGGAACAAGAACGGAGUUACAAGUGAUGAUUUCAGGACAUUGAAGCCACCAUAAUGGGUGCAUGAAGCCUUGGACGAAAUAUACAAGAUGCCACUUCAUAAAUUUCGUCCCGAGGCUAUUUUAGGUGCUUCGUCACCUUAUUAUUGGGCCAGGCCCAUGUAAUUUCGAAAUACAUAAGUAUAGGCUAUUUUUAGAGUCCGUAUGUGUGGGGAAACAAGAGAUAGGGUUGAUUUCGGACCCCUCCACCAAGGGCCACGAAAUUCCCCCCCUCUUCCUCCAUAUAUACAGCCCUUAGGGCAUCGUUUAGACUUCGGGUUUUGUUUAGAUUAAAAGUUCGCCAUAGCUGCAACUUCGCGUACUUCGUUUGUGUUCAACGACCAGACAAAGGCGUCACAGAACCCCAC